rnacentral:lncRNA from 1 species
AAAUGGAACGUGGUGGAUACCAUGCACUCCUGAGACUAGGAUUCGAGAUGGAUAUCUCGCCCAUCCAAGUUCUUGCCAUUACUCAAAACACAUUCAAACCAAUCAAACUUUUUUCUCGCCGUUGUGCGAUUAACCCUUAAACCCUUUCUCAAACGAAAUGUAUUUUGUUUCAAGACGAUGCAAAGCAAUGUUUCGUCCACUUGAACGUGUGAGUAAGCUUGCGACGUUG